rnacentral:rRNA from 1 species
GAUGGACAACAGGUUGAUAUUCCUGUACUACCGAUAACCGUUUGAGAGAAGGGAUGACACAGUAGGAUAAGCUAAGCACACUGUUGGUUAUGUGUGCCCAAGCAUUGAGGCAGUCAAAGUAGGCAAAUCCGCUUUGAUAAUGCUGGGAUGUGAUGGGGAGCGAAAUUUAGUAGCGAAGUAGCUGAUUUCACACUGUCAAGAAAAGUCUCUAUCGAGGUUAAAGGUACCCGUACCGCAAACCGACACAGGUGGGUGAGGAGAGUAUCCUAAGGCCAGCGAGAGAACUGUUGUUAAGGAACUCGGCAAAAUGACCCCGUAACUUAGGGAUAAGGGGUGCCACCAUCAGGUGGCCGCAGAGAAUAGGCCCAAGCGACUGUUUACCAAAAACAUAGGUUUCUGCUAAGUCGCAAGACGAUGUAUAGGAGCUGACGCCUGCCCGGUGCUGGAAGGUUAAGGGGAUCUGUUAGAGCAAUCGAAGCAGUGAACUUAAGCCCCAGUAAACGGCGGCCGUAACUAUAACGGUCCUAAGG